rnacentral:rRNA from 1 species
AUGGACUAUAUGAAUGCCAGUAUGCUGCCUGAUGAUCUGAAUGUGGAAAUCCUCUCCCGGCUGCCGCUCAAGUCUUUUUGCCGCUUCAAAUGUGUCUGCAAACCCUGGCUCGCCUUCUCCUCUGAUCCAAACUACCGAAAGAAGCUGCCCAAAAUCCCCACAGGUCUUUUCUGCCAGUACCAAGACUUCAAUAAGAAGGCUACCAAGCUUCUUGGCCAGACCCGAAACGUUGAGCAAAUUGAUGGAUCACUUAGUUUCUUGCCACACCAUCCGCAACUGGAGCUUAUGGAAUGCUGCAAUGGCCUAGUGCUCUGCAAGCACAGGAGCAUGGAUUGGAGUAGACACACAGUUACUUGCCACUUCAUUGUGUGCAACCCGGCUACACGAGAGUGGCCGAGGCUUCCUGAUACUCGUCCUUACCAAAAACACGAUGUUUGUGAAGCUAUGUUGGCUUUGAACCCAUCAUGUUCCCCACAGUUCUACGUCUUCAACUUUAAACUGAAUCCUUUAUCUUCAUUCUUGAGUGGACUUGAGGUGUUUUCGUUUGAACUUUCCGCAUGGCUCGCAUAUGAUGAAUGGUGGAAUUCUGGGAUACCCACUGUCAUUGGCUACCCACACUUGUUCAUAAAUGGUUCACUGUAUCUGUUUAGUCUUCAGCAGAACUCAGUGCGGAGGAUCUUGGUAUUGAACGGCUUUGAGGCAAUGAGUUCUCGCAUACCGCCUAAUCGUCAAACUAUUAAAUUGUAUCAUGAUCCUUCUGUUGAGUCUUCAAAUGGCCUUC